rnacentral:rRNA from 1 species
AGUGAACGCUGGCGGUAGGCCUAACACAUGCAAGUCGAACGGCAGCACAGUAAGAGCUUGCUCUUACGGGUGGCGAGUGGCGGACGGGUGAGGAAUACAUCGGAAUCUACUUUUUCGUGGGGGAGAACGUAGGGAAACUUACGCUAAUACCGCAUACGACCUACGGGUGAAAGCAGGGGAUCUUUGGACCUUGCGCGAUUGAAUGAGCCGAUGUCGGAUUAGCUAGUUGGCGGGGUAAAGGCCCACCAAGGCGACGAUCCGUAGCUGGUCUGAGAGGAUGAUCAGCCACACUGGAACUGAGACACGGUCCAGACUCCUACGGGAGGCAGCAGUGGGGAAUAUUGGACAAUGGGCGCAAGCCUGAUCCAGCCAUACCGCGUGGGUGAAGAAGGCCUUCGGGUUGUAAAGCCCUUUUGUUGGGAAAGAAAAGCAGCAGGUUAAUACCCCGCUGUUCUGACGGUACCCAAAGAAUAAGCACCGGCUAACUUCGUG